GACGAACGCUGGCGGCGUGCUUAACACAUGCAAGUCGAACGGAAAGGCCCUGCUUUUGUGGGGUGCUCGAGUGGCGAACGGGUGAGUAACACGUGAGUAACCUGCCCUUGACUUUGGGAUAACUUCAGGAAACUGGGGCUAAUACCGGAUAGGAGCUCCUGCUGCAUGGUGGGGGUUGGAAAGUUUCGGCGGUUGGGGAUGGACUCGCGGCUUAUCAGCUUGUUGGUGGGGUAGUGGCUUACCAAGGCUUUGACGGGUAGCCGGCCUGAGAGGGUGACCGGCCACAUUGGGACUGAGAUACGGCCCAGACUCCUACGGGAGGCAGCAGUGGGGACUAUUGCACAAUGGGCGGAAGCCUGAUGCAGCAACGCCGCGUGCGUGAUGACGGCCUUCGGGUUGUAAACCGCUUUCGCCUGUGACGAAGCGUGAGUGACGGUAAUGGGUAAAGAAGCACCGGCUAACUACGUG
rnacentral:rRNA from 1 species